UACGGAGGGUGCGAGCGUUAUCCGGAAUUACUGGGUUUAAAGGGUGCGUAGGCGGCCAUGUAAGUCAGGAGUGAAAGUUUGCGGCUCAACCGUAAAAUUGCUUUUGAUACUGCAUGGCUGGAAUCAGGAUGAGGUCAGCGGAAUGUGGCAUGUAGCGGUGAAAUGCAUUGAUAUGCCAUAGAACACCAAUUGCGAAGGCAGCUGGCUAGACCUGUAUUGACGCUGAGGCACGAAAGCGUGGGGAGCGAACCGG
rnacentral:rRNA from 1 species